rnacentral:rRNA from 1 species
GUGGGGAAUUUUGGACAAUGGGCGCAAGCCUGAUCCAGCCAUGCCGCGUGUGUGAAGAAGGUCUUCGGAUUGUAAAGCACUUUAAGUUGGGAGGAAGGGCAGUAAGUUAAUACCUUGCUGUUUUGACGUUACCGACAGAAUAAGCACCGGCUAACUUCGUGCCAGCAGCCGCGGUAAUACGAAGGGUGCAAGCGUUAAUCGGAAUUACUGGGCGUAAAGCGCGCGUAGGUGGUUUUGUAAGUUGGAGGUGAAAUCCCCGGGCUCAACCUGGGAACUGCCUCCAAAACUGCAUGACUAGAGUACGGUAGAGGGUAGUGGAAUUUCCUGUGUAGCGGUGAAAUGCGUAGAUAUAGGAAGGAACACCAGUGGCGAAGGCGACUACCUGGACUGAUACUGACACUGAGGUGCGAAAGCGUGGGGAGCAAACAGGAUUAGAAACCCGUGUAGUCC